GAUGAAGAACGUAGCGAAAUGCGAUACUUGGUGUGAAUUGCAGAAUCCCGUGAACCAUCGAGUCUUUGAACGCAAGUUGCGCCUCAAGCCAUUAGGUUGAGGGCACGUCUGCCUGGGCGUCACAUAUCGUUGCCUGAUGCCAGUUUCCUCGUGAUGGGUGACUGUGCAGGGCGAACGAUGGCUUCCCGUGAGCAUUGUUGCCUCAUGGUUGGUUGAAAAUUGAGUCCUUGGUAGGGAGCGCCGUGAUAGAUGGUGGUUGAGUGACGAACGAGACCCAAUCAUGUGAGACCCCUACCGAAUUUGGCCUUCAUGACCCACAUGCGUCUUUGGAACGCUCAUGACGAGACCUCAGGUCAGGCGGGGCUACCCGCUGAGUUUAAGCAUAUCAAUAAGCGGAGGA
rnacentral:misc_RNA from 1 species